UUUUUUUUUUUGAAAAACAAAAUGAUAAGGCCUUGACUGGAAAAAAAAAAAAUCAUCAGAAACCACUGACUGAACAUGGUACCAGUCAGAUACCUAAACAGUAGAGAAAGUUAUAAUAAAAGGUUAAGAUUGGUAAUCCUCCCUAUCAGCUGUUGAUACUCGGCAACCCUCAAAGACCACUUUACAUAAGUUACCCAAAAAGCAAAAACCGACAAAUAAACAGAUGAAAAGAGUUCAAUUGUCUGCAUCACCAUCUUCUUCAUCAUCUUCGUCGUCGUCAUCAUCUUGUUCAUCAUCGUCCUCUUCAGAUUCAUCACCAUCCUUGUCCCCUUCGUCAGCUUCAUCUCCCUCAAACUCAUCAUCAGGAUCAGUGUUGAAAUAAGAGAGAGGAUUAGGCCAUAAAUCUUCUUUGAUAACAUCUGCAAUCUCAUCCUG
rnacentral:misc_RNA from 1 species